GCCAAGAAGAGUGUUCUCGGGAAAAUACAUUAUUCAGCAACAUUAUGAGGCAUUGUGGGUUUCAGUAAUUUAGAGACAGUCGUGUUACGCACUUGGCAGAUACCAGCAACAUACGGAUCAACCUUUAGGAUAGUUUUGUAAUUUACCAAAAAUGGCUUUGAAAGUUUUGAUCGUCCUUCUGGUGGUAGGAAUAAUCCUUGAGCCGGCCAUGUCGCUGUCCUUUCAUUACGUCGACUGCGUGAACAAGUGCUACUCUAAGUUAGGGAAAGGAAAUUUUAAGUGUCGUUCAACGUGCUCGAAGUACUGCGCGGGGAGAUUCUCGUCGUCACGGUGUUGGCGGUACAGGCAGGGCAAACUUAGGUUUUAAUGACAACACCAACGAUGCAAUCCCUGGUUCAGGGGUCUACGAUUACUCGAAUCGGCGUAGAGAGAUCGAGGCUGGAAACAUGGAUAGCGGAGCUAUCAAUCAGAAGCCUUCAUAGAAUUGUCGACCAAACUUUCGUUCUGGAAUCAGGAAAUUCCAUAAACGAUUUUUUUUCAACUCGGAUUCAUCCGCAUUUAUAGGCUACUCAGGGAGAUAUAUGGAUGGUAGCCUGUCAUGGAUUCUAGUUUUCAGUCUUUCGUGUUUGCCAACUACCGUUAUUCGUAUUUGACGCAUAAUGCACCUUCAACUAACUUGAAACACUUGAAAAAUAGCCAAAAAAGGAACAUUGCAGGUCGAAACUGAUUGAGACUAAACUGGAUGAUAAUUGUGGGCACUCUGGAUUAGUAUGGGGCGUCGUUUGGGUUUCACUUUAAUUUCACUAGGGGUUAAUAACACCAAAGACAUGUGUGUAGGUCAACUGCAUUCUAUGCUUAUUCCUUCUAUACUGGAGAAAAAUUCAUCUGUCAAUAAAAAUUAUUUUGUCCUGUGCAAAUGAAAAAAAAGAAAGUGUGUCGCUGA